rnacentral:rRNA from 1 species
CACGUAGGGUGCGAGCGUUGUCCGGAAUUAUUGGGCGUAAAGAGCUCGUAGGCGGUGUGUCGCGUCGGCCGUGAAAACCUGCAGCUUAACUGUGGCGUGCGGUCGAUACGGGCAUCACUGGAGUUCGGCAGGGAGACUGGAAUUCCUGGUGUAGCGGUGAAAUGCGCAGAUAUCAGGAGGAACACCGGUGGCGAAGGCGGGUCUCUGGGCCGAUACUGACGCUGAGACGCGAAAGCGUGGGGAGGCGAACAGG